UUACUGACAUGAAUUAGUAUAGUUUGAACAUAAUAUAGUUUGAAUUUCUAGAACGAUUGGGACUUAAAAUAAUGUUAAUAGUUAUAUAAUAACUACCUAUGACUAGAUAUGAAAGUUACAUAGACAACAAUAAUAACUAUACAAUAAAUAAUGAUUCUUUUUAUCAUUUUUAAUAGUUUUUUUUUGUAUCAAAUCAUGUUUAUUAUGAUUAAUAGUUAUGAUACUAUAAUAACGUAGAAGCUUUUUUAAAAUUUUAAAAAGUGCGCUUUAUUUAGUUUAAAUUUAAAUUUUAUACAUUUUGGUGUAACUAAUUUUCCAAUAUUCUAAUGACCAAGGGUUCCUGGGAUUUGUACACAUUGAAGAAUGGAUUAACGUUUAACUGUGUGAUGCUGUUUAAUCAUUUUUGAAUGUGUCGCACAGUUACAAAUAAGAACUAGAUGUCAGGAUGGUGUUUCCUAACGACAGAAGUAAAGACAAAGUCAUGUGUCCACAGAAAUGUGGUAAACUGUAUUCGCGUAAUAGUCUUUACAGACACUUAAAGUACGAGUGUCGUAAGACAGCUCAAUUUAAAUGUUUCUUUUGCGACAAAAUGGCUAAACGACCGGAUAAUUUGAAAAGACACAUGCUUAUGAUACACGGAUACAAUGUGAUGAACAACGAAACCGUCGUUCAGUAAUAAAUUCGGGGGCAUGUUUGCCCAAGUACUACAAGAAGCCUGGACUUGUCACAAUUGUUACAAAAUCUACAAACACCGAACAACUUUACAAAAUCAUUUAAAGUUUGAGUGUGGAGUAGAUAGGAAGUUCCAGUGCGAAAUAUGCCAAAAAAAAUUUGCUCGUAGAACUCAUAUGCGUAAUCAUGUAAUGGUUGUUCACAAGAUAUUAACGUAAACGUUAAAUUGAGUUUCUCUAUUUUAAUUAUUAUCAGAGGUCAAUUAUAUUUAAAAUCCCAUAUAAUUUAGGCUUCAUUCUUCUGCUGUUGGAAAGCUACAACAGCAGAAGAAUGAAGAAUAAAUUAUACUAUAAUCAAAACAGCUUAGUAUAUAUUAUUAGUUAAUAUAAAUUAUUAGGUUUUC